rnacentral:rRNA from 1 species
UACGUAGGGGGCUAGCGUUGUCCGGAUUUAUUGGGCGUAAAGAGCUCGUAGGCGGCUCGGUAAGUCGGGUGUGAAAACUCGGGGCUCAACCCCGAGACGCCACUCGAUACUGCCAUGGCUAGAGUCCGGUAGGGGAGCGUGGAAUUCCUGGUGUAGCGGUGAAAUGCGCAGAUAUCAGGAGGAACACCGGUGGCGAAGGCGGCGCUCUGGGCCGGAACUGACGCUGAGGAGCGAAAGCGUGGGGAGCAAACAGG